UCCAAAAACCCCUUCCCCUUGCACAGUGUUAUAUAUUUCGUUCAAUUGUGUACUAACAUUAUACAUUUUUGUUUCAUUCAAACAUUAUGGACCAUGGCAAGCAAACUUUGGGACAAAAGGAGAAAUAAAACGAGGAUCAAUAUCGGCGUGGCGUUUUCGAGAUAGCGAGAGUUUUGCAACAAACUUCGACUUAACAGAGAUGACGCUCUUGCACGUUAUUAGACAGGGCUGGAGGCGUGUGUUAUUGGUGAUAUUCAGAUACCCCACAUUGGUUUGAUUCCAUCCUUUGUGCAGACAUCCCAUGCUGCUAUCACAGGGGCCUUGCAGUUUUCUCUUAUUUGAUUUCACCAGCAGGUACAUGAAGGGAUUUCUGGAAUACUGAAACAAAG